CACCACGCUGAAAGAAGCCUCGACUGGCCAUCGACGGCAGACUCCAGCGCCUGUGGGAUAGGUUGAACACUGAAGAUGGAACUAGUGGCUUACAUAGGCAAAGGGGAAAAGAAGUAGAAAUUGAUUGGCACAAAUGCUUUAUAUGCCAAGAGGAGUAGAGUUAAGGUAGGGGGUGGAAAAAAGAGAGAAAGCACAUCAGGCAACAGAACAAGGUCUGCAUCACACCUCCUGGAAUUGAUCCUUAUAUCUCUUCCGUUCCAUCGAUUCAUUGACACGUUGGACCUGAAUACAGUCUGUGAACUUGGAGACAGAUACAUGCAUGUCAUAUUCUUUAUCAUGCAACAUGUUAUAGCCAGUUCACAAAUGCAGACCACAUUAAAGAGACUGGAAAAGAAGCAAGAGAAAGAUGCCAGUACUGCAUAUAGAUACCAUCAAUCGCAUAUGCAUAUUCUGCAUCAAGUUCCCAGGACCCACCAAGCAAUUACUCGUCUAGAAGCGCCAUUGCUGUGAUCUCUUGGGAAAAAUAUAUCUUUUGUCAGGAGGAGAAGACAAAAAUUGAGGCAAGUUUGUACAUUCAAUACUUCAAAAAUAAAUUAUGGACCUUGCAAAAAAGGAUGCUACUCUCCGAUGCCAUUUACCCUGCUGCAGGUGAUCUCUGCUUUUGAAGGGAAAUAUCAUCUGCAAUCCUACUCAGAGUUUUUGAGAAAGUAUCAGAAGACCAUUGAUACUGGUGAGGUCGAGACCGAAUUGUUUGAUAUUUGCUUCAACAAUGUUUUGGAGGAGGCUGAGGGCUGGCAAAAGGUAAAAUGUAUACAAUGUCAUCAUUAAUUGAGAGGUACACCCUUCUGCUCCAUAGUGAAUUCAGUAUCUUCAAAGAAAUAUGGGACCCUGAAGCAAAAGUUCAGAAAUAAAAUGAGGAACUCCCUAGGUGAUAAAGCUGACUUUGUCCAGUCACUCAAUCCACAGGAAUCACUUCUGGUAUUCCCUGCAGAAUCAACUGGAUGUGCUGUCCAGAUUCUCAGACAAAUGGCUCAAGAACUCUCAGGCAGUAAGAGGGGGAUCUAAAUACUUUAAUGGAGGAACCUUCCCAAGGGCCUGCAGACAGACCUCGAGCUGCUAAGUUGCUUGUACCAUGUCUCCAUGAAAAUUAAGACAUCAAAUCUACCCCAGGACAUAACUUUAUUGGAGGCAUCAACAUACAAAGUUCAGAAAAGUAUAGUACCUGAGAUUUUGUACCCGUUUCUUCGACUGCUAUGCUCUGAAGAGGAGUUGGAUGAAGACUGUGCGAGUGAUAAGCGCCGCACACAAUUACUGUCUCUUGCCCAGGACACUGGUUCUUGGCUACAAACAGACGAAGCAAACACCUGGGACUUGGAUUGACAAUCCAUCAAGCAACUAGGUCUAAACAGCUUGUGCAACUUUUGCAUGCAGCAGGCGACUGUGUGAGCUAUGACAGUCAUGCGUGCUGGCACUACCUUAGCAAAUGCUGUACUGGCAAGGUAUACAUGGCACAUGGAAACACAAUUGUCCCAAUGAAUUUCAGAAAUUAUCUGCUUGCAGGCUACAUCAGAUAUGCUAAUGACAACAUAGACAUUUUUGAGGAGACAGGUGAUGGGAAGGAGACCUUCCACGCAUCUCAAACAGCUGCUUUCUGCAGAAGUGUCAUUGGCAAAGAAAUACUAGAUCUGAAUGUGGAAUAUCAAACUAGCUGAUGUGUUGAUAUUCUCAAUAACUUUCCAAGUCAUUUUCCAAUCCAAUAUUGACAAGAAUAAGACACAAGCAUUAUUUCAAGAACCUGUCCAAGUUGAAUGCCAAAUUGAAUGAUACAAGGCAACACUUUCAAUGGUGGUGUCACAGGCAAAGGCUAUGGACAUUGCAUGGGUAAUCACCAGACUUCAGGAUCCUGACAAUCAGCAUGUACCCAGCUGGACUGGAUUUAACCAAUGUUCAAAUUGAAUACCCCCAGGAUAUUUGUCAGUCCAAUGCCAAUAAUAAACAAGCUUGCCCAUGAAUUUGACACUAUCUGGACAGUUAUUAAGAAUUGCCAAAAGAUGAUAUCUGCCUUGCGUCAGAAGUUCACUGUGGUAACAUUCGAUGAACAGCUAUACUUUAAGGCAAAGAUGCUGCAAUGGUACAAGAUGAAUGAAUGCAAAAUCUGGUGGUAAUGCUGGGCAGGUUCCACAUUCAAAUAUAUUUCCCAAAGGUCUUUGGUCAGUAUGUGACCGAUUCUGGCCUAAAGGACAUUUUUGUAGAAAGUGGUGUUUCUGGCAAGAAUGCUGCUGAGGACAGUCUCAAGGGUAAACAUUGGAAUCAAAUGAUACAUGCUCACAAACUCACAACUGAGGCACUAUGGAGGAUCCUAUGGUCUACCAUACUACAAUGGGCUGAUAAGUCACAUGGAACUAGAUGCUUCAGUUGUGCAUGUGGCUCAAGAACUUGCCAAGGCAUUCAAUGAUGCAGAUGACCAGGCUUUGGAAACAGCAAUGCACAAUCUGCUCCCCAAAAUUAAGAAAGUGAAAGUACUGGUUGUUUUCCUGGGCUGUGUCAAAUGCAAUACAUGAAUCUUGUUUCCAUUCUGCUCCGGUUUACAAGGGUUAUGAGAGAGGGCAACUGGGACUUGUAUCUGGAGUCAUUUGUCAAAAUGUUGCCUUAGUUUGCCACUUUUGACGAUGUGCAUUCUCUGAGAUAGGGAUGUGUUUUCUUGGCAGGCAUGAAGCAACUGAAGAACACAGCACCUGAAGUGUAUGCUGGUUUCUAGUCCGAUGACUUAAUUGUCCAAGAAAUAAACCAGAGGUUCAGCCAAGUUCCAGAUGACCAGGGACGCGAGUAUGUAAACAAAAUUUGCAAAAUUGCUGAGGGACUGAUUGGAAUAACUCGAUCAGAGUCAGCGCUCAGUCAACGGGGAUUGACAUAUGUGGAGAGAGCAAGGCUUGCCAGCGACACCAGAGAAAUGCUUGGAGUAAUAGAGGAAAAGGGAUCACACAAAGUAUGAGGGAGAAAUAGAAGACGAAGGGAUGAGGAUGAUGUUAAAAAGCGGUCUACUAAGUUCCAGUUAUUCAGUGUUCAACAGGGAAUCCCCGAGCUGGUGUGCCUCACUACUGGUGACGUUCCACAAGAAGCAAUUAUACAAGACCUGCUGAAUGCACAAGUUAAGACAAAACAUUAUAGAGACAUUUGUUGCUGAUCGACUUGUGCAUAAAACUGUCAGCGUACAUGCACUAAUCCCAAAGUUAAAAAAAACUCUUGCUUCUAUAUAUACACACACAGUAGUUAGCAACAGAAAAACAAACAACAGACCUCAGUCAUCAGAGCCAGUCAUGAUCUUUUCAGACAUCUACUUGUAUCUCUAGAUGCUGGCAGGGAUAUUGAUGUCAAUAACUCCUAAGGCAAGAAAUUUGUACUGUACUGCUAACACUGGCUGUGGUUCAGGCCAUGAGAAAACCCAAGGAUGCAGUGACCUGUGGAGACUAUGAAGAUGCUUUUGUGGUAAAUAUCAUGUCCCAUUUCAAGGAAUUUUGCAGCAGGGUACAUGUCAUGUUUGACUGCUACAAACACCCAUCAAUCAAGGAUGUUACUAGAAAACAUUGAAUUGGGAAAGGAAGGGAAAUAAAAAUUAGCAGCAGGGACAUCAGUAAAUGUUCUCCAUGGCACAGGCAACAUGAAUCCAAGGAAAACAAGGCAUCACUUGUUAUGUUCCUCAAAAGGGAACUCUUACAGCAAGCAUCGCAUGGUGACAAAGAACUAAUAGUCAGCAGUGGUAAUGAUGGUUAUGCUGUCUUCUCAACUGAAAGAAACAUGGACCACCUCCACUCCACACAGAAAGAGGCAGACACCCACAUGAUCUUGCAUCUCUCUGAGGCAAUGUCAGAAGGAUAUGACAGUCAUUGUCACAAACAGCAAUACAGAUGUCCUACUACUACCGAUUGCAUUCUGGCCUUGUCUCAGUAGUGAGCUGUGGAUGAAAGCAGGCACAUCAAGAACUCAAUGAUACGCUGCUGUGCACAAGGUGGAAUGCUGUGAUGAAGUAAAGGAUGGACUGUUGGGCUUUCAUGCCCUCGUGGGGUUGGAUACCACAAGCCAACUCGCAGGAAUUUUUAAGUUUGCUUGGAAGAUCUGUGAAACUUGCUUCAAAUUGAGACAGGAGACAUCUCACACACCAGAUGCCCAAGUACUGGCCAGAGCUGAGGAAUUUGUAUGUAGAUUGUAUGAACCUACCAGGGAGACAGAUUCCAUUCACACUGUGGUGUGCUCAAUUCAGAAAGGUGCAAGCUUGAAGACCUGCCACCAACACAAGAUACACUACUUCAGCACAUCCACCAAGCCCACUACCAAGCCUUUAUUUGGCAAAAUGCAGUGGUGACAAAUCCACAGAUGCCAAGACCCAUAAAAAGUGGAUGGCACAUCGACCAUGGCAUGCUGUUGCCUUUACUGAUAACAAAAGGCCUUACACAGCUGAGUGCUUGGACAUCACAACCUGUUGAUGUAAAACAAGUAGACAUCAAUGUAUUGCACAAUGUCCUGUAGUAGACUUAAAUAGAGCAGCAGCUUGCAAAUGUAUGAAUUAGUGCCAAAACCCCCAAUAAAGACCAUGACAGUGACUAGAUUUAUAUGUGAAUUGAACUCAUCAAGUGAUGUGGUUUAGAAAAUGUAAUGUUUACUUGAGGAUUGGAUUUUAAAUCAGGAGGGUGGGGAAAAAAAAAAAAAAAAAAAAAAAAACAAGCCCCCCCCCAAAAAUCAUUGUCUAUUACUCUGUUGAUUUUGGACUGCUAACUCCAGGGGCUCUAGUACUCGUUAGGUAGCCUCUUAUAGCAUAGGAUAAUAUUUGUGACAUAAGAACAUUAAAUGCAUCUUCAUUUUCCUAUACAGGUAGUCCUUGAUGUAUAGCGUUUUGAGUUGCAACGUUUUGUACUUGCGUUUAUAAAUUGAUACCGUUUCAACUUUCUGAUGUCAGUUUCGACUUUACAACGCUUGAUCCAAUGCCACACCAUGUCAGCAAACAAGUUCGCUGCAUCACCCAUCUCCCUGGAGAACAUCUGUCCAAGCUUCCUUGGACACUUUAAGUAAGCAGACAAGAUUCCAGAAAAGCCUGCAGUCAAGACUCCCAAGAAAACUCCAGCCAAGAACCCUUCAAAAAGUCCAGCAAAGUCACCUCAAAGAAGUCCUUUCAAAUCAAUAUGAUUGCUAUUUACAAUCUAAAUAUAUUGGUAUAGCUAGAUUACUCAUCUAUAAUGGAGUACAAAAUUCCUGGGUUUUUUCUUUUUUGAAAAUAGGGCAUCGGGCCUUGGUUCAGGAGCCAACCCCCCAUUAUAACAUUGCUUCUUAUGGGGGGGGGGGGAAGGGAGGGGGGAAAGAAAGAGAGAAAAAUCUAUGUUCACAUUGUAACAAAAAAAAAAAAAAAAAAAUUGUGCAAACUUCACCUUUUUCAGUAUCUGCACCCAGACUAGUAACAGGAGUCUCCACCCACUAACAUCUAACCAGCAAUUCCAAGCCAGGGUGUGGUGACACACUGGGGUGCCUUGAGAUCCUUUGAAGGGUGCUGCAGGGCACACCAUUAGGUGUGCAAACAUGAUUCACUAUAUCCAUAGAUUUCAAACAGGAAUACAGUGUUAAAAACAUUCUUACCUGUUGUGGUCAGUUUUUUGCAACAGAAGAUUUCCUUAUUAUUUUCCUACAGUCAAGGAUCAAGGGAAAGUUAUGAACUGACAUUUUUCGAGGGGUGGCUUAAAUCUGAAAGGGUUGAGAACCACUGAUUUAAACUCUGCAGAAUGACACUAUGAACCAUCCACUGCCACAGGUUUUCGAACAUUCUUCUAGCAUGAGACCAGAAUGACAGCUCAGGUUAAAGGUAGACUGGCACUAGGCCAGAUCCGCCUCAGCCGCUUCUCUUCGCUGUCCAAUUGUGGACCAUAAUAGGCAGAGCUCCCCCAUCCACUGAAGUUGUGGGUGUCUAGCUGCAGGCAGAGCUCCUUGUUACCAAAUGCUGCUGAGACCACAGCUCUGCAAGCUGAAUCUAAAGGUCAACCCACAGGCUGUAGGUUGCCAGCUCUUGCACUGCCACACAACCUUUAAUGGUCUCUGGAUCAAAACAUCUUGCAUAUUACCCUUACACCGAGUCAGAACAGUCCAUCCAACAGUACAUGUGAGACUACACUGAAGGACAAGACUAAUCCAUAGGUGUCCAGAGAGUUUUUUUUUUUGCGCAUUACCCAAAAAUAUAAGAGGGAAAGUGAUCAAAUAACAGCAGCCUCUUAUUCUCCCCUUUGGUAAAGCCCAUCAUUUCUUUUCUGUACCACAUAAGUCUAUGACUAGAUUGCCUAAAACAUUCGUUAGUGUUCAGCUUAAGCUUUUCAGCAUCAGUUUUUUGUUCCUCUGCAGAAGGAGCUCCAAAAUGGACAGUCAUCUACUUGAAUGCAGUUUCUCUUGUUCCCUAUUGAUGAUUCAGCUCAGUACAGUAGCAUUGUCUGACCUCUAAAGAAUAUGCAGAUUUCAGACAAAGAUUUAUUUUAAUAUAUUUUAAGAAAAUCCAAAUACUAGGUACUUUUUUUUUUUUUUUUUUUUUUUUUUGCAAUAGCCCCAUGACUUUGAGCCAGAAGAGGCCUCAUUAAGCUUUGCAACACAAGGAAUAUCUGAGUUUUUCAUUGUAUGGAGUCUUUUACAGCAAGACCGUCCAACUGGCACCCUAUGGGCCACACGCAACCCAUGAAAGGUUAAGUUGUGGCCCCCACCCAGGAGCCACUUUCCCCACCAGGCUCCCCUUCUUUACUCCAGGUUCUGCUUCCAUCCCUUGGGGUGGGAUGUAGCAGCCACAGGGCCCAGGGUCUCUCAUACAACACAGUGAAGCAGAGGAACGUAGGGGACACCAGAGAGAGUAUAGGAUUAAUUGUAGCAGGCAGCAUCUAGAACACAAAACAGCCCCAAUAUCCAAGACAGCCAAGUUGAAAAUCCCCUAUUCCUACUCACCCAAGAAAGAACUAGGCAAACUUUAUGAGAUCAUAUACAAAAUAUAUCUUUCGAAAUCUGACCGUACCUGAAGCAUGAACUAAGCUUCUUUGAAACGGACUACUAGUUUCCUAGCAUUUGGGCAAGGAAGACCACAGAACAAGAGCCAAAACAAAUGUUUACAAGCUGCAAUACACAAUCUACAGGAAAGAUAGUGACUAGUUACUGGUCUAAAGCAGGGGUGGCCAUCCUGUGGCAUAGGCAAUCCGUGUGUGGCAGAACUUGGGCAGAGUGCAGGGCUAAUUUGUGACAUGCCUGACAAAAAGGUUGCCCCCCCCCCAAACCCAAGCUAUCUUGGUACCUUAAAGUACUAUAAUUAUCAAGCUAAAAACCCUCACACUGCCCAAACAAGUACUUCCAUAUGUAGUAUUACCGGGCAAGUUCACAUCUUACUUUUACCCCCGUUUGGACCUCUCCUCCCCCUACCAAAGCAUCACCACUUGGAUACUCCCCCCCCCCCUUUCAGGUUCUGCUUCCUACUUUUGGGGAUAGGGCAGUCCAUAGCUUGGAGAGAAGGAGGGACACAGGGGAAGGAAGUGUUCAAGUGGUGAUACUGGGUUGGGGGUGGUAGAGAAGAAGGAAAGAGGUCCAAAUUGGGGUAAAAAUAAGAUGUAUUAUAAGGCAAGGUCACUAUAUAUUCAAUAGGAGGCAGAAUGAUUUGGAAGGAGGGGGAGGGGCAACAGCAAGAUUCGACUGCUCUGCUAUAGGGGAUACACCAGUGCAAGGCUUGAAUGCAUUUGAAUACUGUGACAAACACUGACACCAUCCUGUAGAUCUGAGUAUUAAGACGACAGACUUCUGAACACUUCCUGAAUUGGUUUUAAAACACACUUAAAGUGCUCAAGGUUCCCCUCCCUACAAAUAAAUGCUAGAAGGAAUUCAUUACACCAAAUCGCCAUCUUUUAAGUUUGGUCCUUCCAAGAUAGCACAUUUUCCAUUCCAAUUCCAUUAAUGAAUAAAGUAAAGGGAAUGGCAGAGUGCCAUAUUCAAUAUAAUCCAUUGCAGAAUCACAAGCAACUAAGUAGAUUUAGCAAGGCUAGCAUUAAGAAAUGACCUGUCAUAAUGUUUACUUACUUCAUACUGGUUAAGUCAUCACUUCUUUCUAUUUGAUGGAAGCUACUCUAGUCUGCCCUCAAUAUUUCCAAAUCUAUAAUACAAGGGAGGGGAAAGAGAGGCACCUCAAAAAACACAAGAAUAUCAUGGACUGAAGUUACUCUGGUUGUAAAGUAACAGCUAGCACUUUCUGCUUUGGUUAAAACAAGUUUCUAUUAGUAGAUCUCAACUCUCAUUUAAAAAUUAUGUUCCAGUACACCAUGUAUUUAGGCACCCUAAAUGCAGGGCUGUUAGGCUUUCUUCUGCACUCCACUAAUGAGCACUUCAUCUUUCAAAGCCACUGCAUUGGUAUCCGACUUCUUAACCUACUUCACUGGAAGUGGCAUUGCAGUAGUAUUCAUAUGUCCAGCACAUUCAAGUACAAGUAAGAGACUAGCUUUACGCUGCACAAAUCAGCAAGAAGCUCAUACAUGAAGCAAUGUUUUAAUUGGAAGCUCGUAUAAAGGUUAAAGCAACAGCCUACUGUAUAAAGGAACAAACAUUUUUAUGAUGUCGUCAAGGUAUGCAGAGAAGCAAAGACCUGUAAGAAGUGCUGCAAAAAGUAGCACAAUGUAAGUUUUCUGAAGUUACAGGAUUGAAAUCAACACCACAAGACUUUGAACAAAAAGAAAAAGUCCAAACUGUAAGCUUUUAAACACCUCCACAUUCCCCUCUUUAAUAUGGUGUUUUGCACUGUGUACAUGAACAAAAACUAAGCAAAAAGGAACUUUAGCCAAACUCCCCUUCCUCCUCCAGCUUUAUUGAUAGUUUAAAAUUACACUUCUAUGUUCUAGGUCUUCAAUUGCUUUUACCAUC